UACGAAGGGGGCUAGCGUUGUUCGGAAUUACUGGGCGUAAAGCGCGUGUAGGCGGGUCUUUAAGUCAGGGGUGAAAUGCCAAGGCUCAACCUUGGAACUGCCUUUGAUACUGGAGACCUUGAGUCCGGGAGAGGUGAGUGGAAUUGCGAGUGUAGAGGUGAAAUUCGUAGAUAUUCGCAAGAACACCAGUGGCGAAGGCGGCUCACUGGCCCGGAACUGACGCUGAUGCACGAAAGCUAGGGGAGCAAACAGG
rnacentral:rRNA from 1 species